ACGCUCGACACCUACGGGAGGCAGCAGUGAGGAAUAUUGGUCAAUGGACGCAAGUCUGAACCAGCCAUGCCGCGUGCAGGAUGACGGCUCUAUGAGUUGUAAACUGCUUUUGUACGAGGGUAAACNCAGAUACGUGUAUCUGUCUGAAAGUAUCGUACGAAUAAGGAUCGGCUAACUCCGUGCCAACAGCCGCGGUAAUCUGAGCGGGCUGGCAAGGC
rnacentral:rRNA from 1 species